rnacentral:rRNA from 1 species
GGUCUUGACAUCCACGGAAGUUUUCAGAGAUGAGAAUGUGCCUUCGGGAACCGUGAGACAGGUGCUGCAUGGCUGUCGUCAGCUCGUGUUGUGAAAUGUUGGGUUAAGUCCCGCAACGAGCGCAACCCUUAUCCUUUGUUGCCAGCGGUCCGGCCGGGAACUCAAAGGAGACUGCCAGUGAUAAACUGGAGGAAGGUGGGGAUGACGUCAAGUCAUCAUGGCCCUUACGACCAGGGCUACACACGUGCUACAAUGGCGCAUACAAAGAGAAGCGACCUCGCGAGAGCAAGCGGACCUCAUAAAGUGCGUCGUAGUCCGGAUUGGAGUCUGCAACUCGACUCCAUGAAGUCGGAAUCGCUAGUAAUCGUGGAUCAGAAUGCCACGGUGAAUACGUUCCCGGGCCUUGUACACACCGCCCGUCACACCAUGGGAGUGGGUUGCAAAAGAAGUAGGUAGCUUAACCUUCGGGAGGGCGCUUACCACUUUGUGAUUCAUGACUGGGGUGAAGUCGUAACAAGGUAACCGUAGGGGAACCUGCGGCUGGAUCACCUC